UAUUCUAAUCUAACUACCUAAUUACACUUAAUUAAAUCUAAUCAACCUUUAAGUAUAAUUAGAAAACUAAGAAAGUAUUAGUGAACAAAACUCAUUUGAUUAAAUGCUGGGCUGAGUUCUGGCCUGACUUGCGGCCCAAACGGACUGAACUAGCGGGCCCCAAAAGGCCUUGGCUGGCGCUGGAAAAGAAGGUUGCUGGACUGCUCGGUGGAAUCGUGGGCUGAAGAAAAUGCUUUGCUGGGCCGUUGAUGGAGCUGCUGGGCUUCGAGAUUUCAAGUGGCCGAAGACACGCGGACGCCGUUGCUGCUGAAGACCACACGGGCUGAUUAAGCAUGGACGAAAGCAGCUGCUGGCGAAGACGUCCGUGGAGAAGCAGCUGGCGUCGUUGCCGAGAGCUGGGCUUCACUCGGUGGUCAACAAAGUGGGAAGAAAUACGCUGCUGUUGACCGUGAAGGAGCAAGCUGUGGACGCGUGGAGAGGCAGGCGUUGGCGGUUGCAGCUGCUGGGUUGCUCGGUCUUCGCUGCUGAAGGAAGGGUUGACCGAACAAGCAGCAUGAGGUGGACGGCCUGGCAGCUUGGCUUCGGCGGAGGGGAAGCAAAAGAUAGUGGGCGUACGAGGCUGAUGCUGGAGGAAAUUUGGUGGAUGAAGUAGCUCGGUGGGGUUGCAGAGGAAUGUAAAGAAAAUGAAAAAAUGAAAAAAUGAAAAGAAGAGUGGAGGCGUGAGGGAACGGAACGCUCGACGGAAAUGAACGCACGGUUGAGAAAGAC
rnacentral:lncRNA from 1 species